AUGGUGAAUAUAACUUCCAUCAAAACAGCAUCUAAUGGCCUGUGGCAAGGCGACAAUCCUCUAAACUUCGCCUUCCCGCUCCUAAUAGUUCAGACCACCUUGAUCAUCGUGGUUAGCCGCUUCCUCGCUUUCCUCCUCAAACCCCUCCGCCAACCCAAAGUCAUUGCAGAAAUUGUCGGUGGAGUUCUGCUUGGUCCUUCAGCUUUUGGACGAAACACAGAAUACUUGCACACAAUCUUUCCAUCAUGGAGCACCCCAAUACUAGAAUCAGUAGCAAGUAUUGGUCUACUAUUUUACUUGUUCCUUGUAGGCUUAGAGCUCGACCUGAGCUCCACUCGCCGAAGUGGCACUAAGGCUUUCGGAAUAGCCAUCGCCGGCAUAACGCUCCCUUUCCUCUGUGGCAUCGGCGUCGCUUUGGUCUUCCGCAAAACAAUUUACGGAGCUGACAAAGCAGGGUUCACUCAGUUCCUUGUCUUCAUGGGAGUGGCACUCUCCAUCACCGCCUUCCCUGUGCUUGCCCGCAUCUUAGCGGAGCUCAAACUCUUAACGACUCAGAUCGGGGAGACCGCCAUGGCCGCUGCUGCCUUCAAUGACGUUGGUGCAUGGAUCUUGUUAGCCUUGGCGGUGGCCUUGGCAGGUGACGGUGCUGGUGGCCACAACAAGAGCCCCUUGAUAUCCAUUUGGGUCCUCCUUUCAGGUGUUGCAUUUGUCGCGUUCAUGAUGGUCGUGAUCCGACCGGCCAUGAAAUGGGUCGCCAGUCGGUGCACACCGGAGCAAGACGUCGUGGACGAAGCCUAUAUUUGCUUAACCUUAGCCGGAGUAAUGGUGGCCGGGUUCAUUACUGACCUAAUUGGAAUUCAUUCCAUAUUUGGAGCUUUCAUCUUCGGACUCACAAUUCCGAAAGGACAGUUUGCAGAUAGAUUAAUAUCGAGGAUUGAAGACUUUGUGUCCGGCUUGCUGCUUCCUCUUUACUUUGCGUCGAGUGGGUUGAAGACGGAUGUGGCUAAAAUACGUGGCGGCGGGGCAUGGGGGUUGUUGGCUCUGGUUAUCACCACGGCGUGCGCCGGGAAGAUUCUGGGGACGUUUGUGGUGGCGAUGAUGUUUAUGAUUCCGGUAAGAGAGUCCUUGACGCUUGGUGUGCUCAUGAACACCAAAGGCUUGGUGGAACUCAUCGUCCUAAACAUUGGCAAGGAGAAGAAGGUACUAAAUGAUGAGUCAUUUGCGAUUCUAGUCCUCAUGGCACUCUUCACCACCUUCAUCACAAGUCCGAUCGCGAUGGCCAUUUACAAACCGGCACGUGGAAUCUCAUUUUCCACUCACCGUAAACUAUGUGAUCUCUCCACAGUUGAUCAAGCUUCCAAAGACGAGCUCCGGAUACUUGCAUGUGUUCAUGGUCCAAACAAUGCACCUUCACUCAUAAGCUUCAUAGAUUCCAUUCGAAGCACCAAAAAUUCCCAACUCAAACUCUUCCUAAUGCACCUUGUUGAACUCACCGAGCGCUCUUCUUCAAUCGUUAUGGUCCAACGGGCUCGAAAAAAUGGGUAUCCCUUCUUUAAUCGAAGGCCUCGAGGUGAGUUGUAUGAUAGGGUUUAUGGGGCAUUCCAAGCCUAUAGUCAAUUGGGCCGAGUCUCGGUCAGGCCCACAACCGUAAUUUCACCCUUGUCCACAAUGUACGAGGAUAUUUGCCAUGUGGCGGAAGAUAAGAGGGCGACGAUGAUCGUCUUACCAUUCCACAAGCAAUGGAGAUGUGAUGGUGAAGAUCAUGAGAAAAAAGAGAUCAAUUUUGGGAAUGCUUGGAGAGGGGUCAACCAAAGGGUGCUUCAAAAUGCGCCGUGCUCGGUUGCGGUGCUUGUGGAUCGUGGAUUCGGAAAUUUUGAAGCCCAAACUCCCGAGCCGGAUAAAGUUGUGGCCCGACUAAUCUGUAUUCUAUUUUUCGGUGGGCCAGAUGAUCGAGAGGCCUUGGAAUUGGGUGGUCGGAUGGCUGACCACCCAUUGGUUAAAGUGAAGGUUGUGAGAUUCGUCGAGAAAGAAGGUUUGGAGAGUAAUGGGCCUCAUGGGCCUAUGUUUUGCCCCCUACCCACCAAGUCCACCGAGAACAGUUAUAGCUUCUCCACAAACAAAAUGGACCGAGGGAAAGAAAAGGAACUAGAUGAGGCUGCAUUGGCUGAGUUCAGGAGCAAACUAGUGGAGGAUGGGAAAGCUGAGUACACUGAGCAAGUGGUGGCUAGGAAUAUUGUGGAGGGGGUGCUGGCAAUAGUACGAGGUGGAGAUCAGGACCUAAUAAUUGUAGGAAGAGGACGGUUCUCAUCAAGCAUGGUGGUGGAAUUGCCAGACCGGCAAGCCGAGCACUCCGAGCUGGGGCCUGUUGGUGACAUAUUGGCCUCUUCCGGCCAUGGUGUUGUCUCAUCAGUCCUUGUGAUUCAACAGCACGAUGUAGCUCAUGCUAGAGGAAGCUUCGGUGUCCAAGAUAGUGCAUGGUGAGUGCGAAAGUUCACCUUUGCAGAUGAAUCCUCCCCGUCUAUAA